UUGACUGAAUUUUGACUGAAAUUAAGGACUAAACAUCUAAACCUAGUCUUCAGUCUAUUCUUCACUCCAAUCUUCGCCUCUUCAGUCUUCUUGCUUGGCUGCUCUUGCCGAGUUGCCGUCGUUGCCGAGUUGCCGUCUCUAUUUCCUUCUCGGCUUCUCAGUCCAAACUCCAAACUUGAUCCAUAGCAAUCAGCACGAAGGAAGCACGAAGCAAUGAUUCAUAUAAUGGUCUUGGAUGGUGAUGACGACUUGUCAAGAUGACUUAUUUUUGAAGCUUUGUUGUCCCAGAAUGACGAAGAAGAUUAUAGAAACCUCAGAAAUUGGAUUUGUUUGGACCUUUUGAGUGUUUUCUAGACUUAUAUUGUUUUUUUUUUAAUUCUAAUAUUUAGACAAUUGGACAUGCAAGUUGGAUAACUAUGAUAUUGCUCUUAUGUUAAUUGUGGUUUAACAUUUAUAUCUUAUUCUGUGCGCAGGUA